rnacentral:rRNA from 1 species
GCCUAGCCGUAAACUUUUAAUUACACCCCCAUCGCCAGGGAACUACGAGCAAAGCUUAAAACCCAAAGGACUUGACGGUACCCCAUAUCCACCUAGAGGAGCCUGUCCUAUAAUCGAUAACCCCCGCUUAACCUCACCAUUUUUAGCUUAUCAGCCUGUAUACCUCCGUCGUCAGCUUACCUCGUGAGCGUAAAUUAGUGAGCUCGAUGCCCUUACGCCAAUACGUCAGGUCAAGGUGCAGCAUAUAAAAUGGGAAGAGAUGGGCUACACUAUCUACAUUAGAUUAAACGAAAAACUAUUUAUGAAACCUAGUUAGAAGGCGGAUUUAGAAGUAAAGGAAGACCAAUAUGCUUCCUUUAACUAGGCACUGGGGUGUGUACACACCGCCCGUCACCCUCUUCAAAGCUUUCAUUCUAGUUUUUAACACAACUAAGCACCAUAGAAGAGGCAAGUCGUAACAUGGUAAGUAUACCGGAAGGUGUGCUUGGAAA